GGUUUCUCUGGUCUCAUGUCUCGGGGCAGGAGGGACGGUGUCAGCAGGAGCAGGCAGAGGAUGCCCACCUCCUGCUCCAAGGGUCCCACAUCUCAAAGCCAAGGAAUUUCACUCUCGGGCCUUAGGGGCCCCCUCAAAGCCCCAAGGGCCCCACUUCCAGGCCCAGGGUCUGAGCACAGAAGAGUUCAGGAGGUCCCCAAUGUUCGGUCUCAGAGCCCUCAAAUCUGCCUUUAGCGGCCCGCGAGGCUGAGCGCCUCAGCGCUUCGACGCUCCUGAGAGGCUCCGGGCUCCAUUCCAGUCAGUUUCCACCUUCUGCCCAGAAGCUACGCGCCUGCAAAUUUCAGCUCUCCGCGGUAGCUCCACCUCCAGUACACUGGACCCCACAUCCUGCACUCCAAGGACCUUCCUCCCAAAGCCUGGAAAAGAAACAAGGAUGCCCAAUUUCACAUCCCUAUAAGCCUGGGGAUACAAUAUAAGGGACAGAAAGAGGCUUGUCUUGUCCCUUGCUUGCUUUGCUGUCUUCUGCCUGCCAUGAAGUGGUUCUCCUCUGCGGUGCCUGUCUGCCAAGCCACCCUGCCUUGAAGCCAGCCGAUUAUAGACUGAAACCUCUACAAACUGUAAAGAAACCAAGGAGACAGAAGGCAGCUUGCUGAGUGUCACAGCCAGUGCCAGGAAUUGCACUCUGCUUCCUCCAGCACCAAAGCUUGCACUCUUGGCUCCUCCUUACUCACCGCCCUGAGAAGGAAGAGCAGUGCAGGAAUUCCCCAUCUCCCCUUGCCAAAUGCUUCUCAUUUUAGAAGAAAGCAACACAUGACGUCAUCUCAACAAGUGAAGGUAAAGUCCAGGAAAGCAAAGCUGGAUUCCAGCACUGACUAGGGACUCCGGGGCUGCUCAGCACCAUGGCAGAACAAUACUGGGAGGAAGGUCACAUAAAAGUGAUGGAGGCAGAUGGAAAAGAAGCUGCCUUCAUCACCCAUGGUGGUAAGACCUAAGUGUGAAAAAUCAAGUACUAGCAAUCAAAGUACAUUAGUUACACACCCGGAGGAAAAUACCAAAAGUAUUGGUCGAAAGAGCUGAGGAGGAAUUGAAGGAAACGGAAGAAGGCAAGAGGACUACUCUUUCUUACAUCAAAUCUUCUAAAGCUAUUUGACUCUUUAUAAAGAGUGUAAAUGUGUAUGUAGCUUUCGUUAAAAAAAAAAAAUUAAAAAACAACCAACUGAAUACUUAUUUGAGAACUAUUCCAGCAUGAGGUUAUGUGUUCUAUGGGUGACAACAACAAAAAUAGUUUUCAAUGUAACAGUUAAGUAAAAUAUGAAAAAAUUCUCAGAAAUUGGCAAAUAAUUCCAAGUAAAAUUUGAUAAUGAGAUAAAUAAAAAGAUAAUUAGAAAAUGGAGUGACAAAAGGACAGUAAAUUUCUUUAAAAAUCUGUGUUUUAAAGUAGUUUAAAAAAAAAGUACACCUUCCUCAUUUCCUCCCAGACACGCCUUUCCCAGAUUUAUCUAGUCUCAUCCUCCUUGCAUUUCUGAGUAGUGGGCAGAGCAGUUUUUAUCAUCCCCACGUCACAGAGGGGAAAAUAAGGUCCAAACCCAAUGGGUAGCAUAGCAGGGGCACCAUGUCAUUGCGCAUACAGGAAGAAUUAUGGUGAGUGCUUCACAAAUGUGUCUGAGGAGCAAAACUGUAAAAAAGAUUGUUAUGACAGUGUUUAUUUAUCAGCAUCAUUACAUGGUGAUGACAUGGGUACAAAAAGGGACACUCAAAUUAUCACAACUGGCACCACCCUGAGGUAGAAUGGAAGAAAUAAAGACAGGUAGAAAAUGAAAAUCAGCAUAGAGGUAACAUCUCCUGGACAUGUCAUUUUCUUAUGCACACAAGAAUUACUCCUGGGGUUCAGGGUAGUAUGAUGAUUGUGAUAUUUAUAGACAUUUUUCUUAGAGGAUACUGGUUCUUUUGUAUUUCUUAGAGGUUCCUUUUUCUUUUUAGAUGGUCAGUAUUCUUUCAGGGGUCUUGGUCAUGUAAGAAACUUGAAGUUUACAAAAGGAAAAGUUCUAAUCUAAAUUGGGACUCAGCUCAAAGUGGGAGAGCCUUUAAAGAAUAUUUCUUUUCCUGAUAUCAUUGGACGAUAGGCUAUGAUGACCAGCAAUACUGUAUGCUUUUUUAUAGAAAUAGAGGCCCUGUGUCUUUGGAUCUGAGACCUAAUAAAUGAUUA